CAAGCCCUGAGUUUAGCAAAAAGAGAAUCCUGCUACUUUUUACAGCAGUGAAAAGAAAAACUGGGAACUUCUACUCUGUAUUAUAACCUACAGGGUGAAAAUCCUGUUCUAGAAGCAAAAUCUGCGCAUUGCAAAACUGAUACUUCAACAAUAUUGCAAUACUGAGAUCUUCUAAAAAAUCUAAAGCAUUUUAUUUGCACAAAUAAAUAAAUAUUUUUUUCGGAAAAAAAAAAGGGCAGACUUUUAGACUUCCCGGCUAAAGCAAAGCAAAAACUGUGGAGUUGUUUGCUGGUAUUUUGGUAAAAAUCUAAAUUAAACAAAAACUACGUUUGCCAUUAAAGGUUGACACACAGUUCCAACUUUUAAGGCCAUCAUUGACCAUAGGAGAAGACUUUCUUGGAGAGGCCCAGAAAGGAAUAUUUGUUGAUCGCUGGGAUACCCAUAGUCCCUGACAGUCAUUGUUCACAUCAUUGUCUUGUUAACAAGCUAGAUCUGGAAUCAUGCCUGAAAAAAUCAGCUUGCCAGCUAAACUGAUUAAUGGUGGAAUAGCUGGACUCGUUGGAGUUACUUGUGUUUUCCCCAUUGACCUUGCCAAGACAAGACUACAGAACCAGCAAGGACGCAGCUUCUACACUGGGAUGUUUGACUGUUUGGUAAAGACGGUUCGUUCGGAAGGAUUUUUUGGCAUGUACAGAGGUGCAGCAGUCAAUCUUACCCUUGUCACCCCGGAGAAAGCCAUCAAACUGGCAGCCAAUGAUUUCUUCCGAAACAAGCUGACCCAAGAUGGGAAGGAACUGACAUUAGUCAGAGAAAUGUUGGCUGGUUGUGGGGCCGGAACCUGUCAAGUGAUCGUAACGUCUCCCAUGGAGAUGCUGAAAAUUCAGCUGCAGGAUGCGGGACGCUUGGCAACACAGAAGGUUGUAUCUGUGGAUGGAGCAACAGCAGUUCCUCACACGUCAACUACCACCUCAAAGAGGCCCUCUGCUCUACAGAUCUCCCGAGAGCUACUACGUACAAAGGGCAUCUCGGGAGUGUACAAGGGACUUGGUGCUACACUCCUCAGGGAUGUUCCAUUCUCUGUCAUCUACUUUCCCCUUUUUGCAAAUAUAAAUAUGCUUGGCCAGACAUCUUCCCAUGAGAAGGCACCAUUCUACCAUUCAUUUUUUGCUGGAUGUUUGGCAGGGUCUGUGGCUGCUGUUGCGGUGACUCCACUAGAUGUGUUGAAGACUCGGAUUCAGACGCUGAAGAAGGGAUUAGGAGAAGACGUGUACAAUGGAAUUGUGGACUGUGCCAGGAAGAUAUGGAUCAAUGAGGGUCCCUCUGCUUUCAUGAAGGGGGCUGUCUGCCGGGCCCUAGUUAUAGCCCCGCUUUUUGGCAUAGCCCAAGUUGUUUAUUUUAUUGGUAUUGGAGAAUACAUCCUUGGAUACAGUAAAUAACUUCUGACGAUGCAUGGACACAGACUGAAAAUGUCAGACCAAGGAGAGCAGAACUCCAUGUUCGAUAAUGAUACACCAUAUGUACUUGAUAACCCCAGAAUAGCUCAUUGUGUAAAAGAUACAAUGGAGUUCGGCAGAUUCAAAAACUGGAAACUAGCAAAUUCUCAAGAGUUUUGUAUCAAACCUGAGAGCCUUUUAUUUAACCCUACCAUUGUAUCCUGAUAAUGGCCUUUUAGGUCAUGAUGCAACAAAGACCCAGUAUAGGUUUGUAUGCCACACAUGCCUGGUACAAUCUGACAAUUCUCAAUUUAGAUUGUUUUAUAAGUUGCAAUGAUGACAUUGAGUUGGGUUUGUACUGUUCCAUAUAUGUGGCUCGAAUUAGAAAUACAAUGCAGCAUUUGCACUUUAUUGCAGUCAUCUACAAGCUAGUGCUCAUGGACCUCUUACAAUUCAGGAGUUACAGAUUUCCCAAUUCUGUUUAGAUGGUGGUAUUGAAAAGACCAAAAAUGUUGUUGGAAAGAAUUAUUAUUACUAUUACUCUAGGCCUGGCCAAAAUGCACAGACCUUCAAAGUGUUAAGGGCCCCAAAACACUUACUGCCUGCACCAUAGCCACAAAGCUAGGUUGUUUUUGAUGUUGUGAAGGAGAGGAAGCUGUGCCAACCAAUGGUGUGUAAGAUUUUACUAUAUCAUAUCUCCCUAUUUAAAAGGGGCAUUCCCUAUUUUGGCCCCAAAUCCCUGUUUUCUAUCUGGUUUCUAUUUUCUGGAAGCUCCAUAGUGUUGGUAUGUCUACAUGUAUAACAGAACUCCACAGCAAUAAUACUCCCAUUAAUGUGUCUGUAAACUACAGUAAAUGUGUUUAGAAAUCAAUCUGUGUAAAUAAGAUGCAUUGUUCAUGUUUUAAAAUUACAUAAGUUAUUAUUGUCAUCUACAGCCUGCCCCUUACCACAACCCUGCUCACACCUCUACAAUAAGUAAUGUUGGGAGGCAUGCUAUUCAAAUGCUCAAUCUUUAGUUAAGUUGUGUGUAAAACAGUAUGAAGCAAGAGUGACUUUGAAAUUGAAGUCCAAAAUAGCUAAACUGGAAAAGAUUUUCAGGUCGGCUAUAUUACCAGUUUAACUACUUUUUUAUCUUUAAAUUUAAAAUGUAUAUUGAAUUUCCAACAAUUGUCACAUGUGCCAUAGCUGCUCAUACUAUAUUUUCUAUAUCACCAGUCCCACCAUUGUUACCCUGCCAAACCAGACAUAUCAGCAUCACAUAACUGUCUAUAUAUUCAUAUAUUAGAUCAGUUUAUAGUGCAUAAGCCCACAAUACAGAGAUCAAUAUGAUCUUGAUACUUUGUAAGACUUUGAGCGUGAGAGUAGGACGUUUUCCACUCCCUGUUUGAUGUAGAGGCCACUACUUCAAUCCUAGAAGGAAAGACAGGAUAAGUACAACUUACCACCUUUAAUGGAGAGUGAUAUCAUUGGCUCUACAUACAAAGAGUCAAGUCAGCCUGAGAUCAAAGCAUCAUUGUUUUCCACCAUUUUGUAUUUCAAUAUUGAUUUUUCUUAUCCACCUCCAUAUUCCCAGUUUGUUGCUAUACUCUUCUUAUUCCAACUGACAAGGGAACUGGAAUAUUCCCAAUUCAGCACCUUAUCAUCUUCACUAGUUUCAUCUAAAACCUGCCAUUAUCAUGUCAAACCAAUAAACCAUUGUGUUUACACUACAAGUCCAAAUAUAUGUUAAACAGGUUUUAGGGACUCUAGCACCAGAUUAUUUGGUGCUGUACUGUGCCUGGUGCAAAGCGGUUUCCAAUUUCCAUUCCAGAACUUUUUUGGAAUGGGAAUUCUCAUGGUAUGAUUUGGAAUAAAGUGUGGCUACAGGCAGUAUUUUAUUACGCAUUGGAUCUCUUCUGCUCUAACAAUGAUAUUGUUUACAGUCUACUGCAGCAACUUUAUAUCGUCCAUUAUAAGUAUUAUCAGAUCUUUACCAUUCUUCUAUAUACAGAAUUUGCUUAAGAAAGGUUAUUUUAUACAUCAUCUUGGAUUAGAGUUUUAUGUAUAAACUGGCAAUAAAUUCAUUUAAAAUUC